rnacentral:tmRNA from 2 species
GGGGAUGCUUGGUUUCGACAGGGUCGGAGAUCAGGCCAUUGCACGUCGAGGCGCCCGAGGCCUCGUAAAUAACGGGCAAAAAACUGCAACUGCGGAUAACUCCCAGCUUGCCUACGCUGCCUAAGUCUCAGACCUCUAGGUAGUGCGUCCACCCGGACCUCCCUCCAUCGGGAUCGGAUGUGGGCGUCACCAAGAUGGAGUGCUGUGAUCUAGUUCGUCGGUGCGCGAUCACUCAAGACAGUCCGAAUUACCGCUCGUUCGCCCUGUCGGUGGGGUUUUCGAGCGGGACACUAAAACAUCGACUAAACGUGUAGUAGAUGUCCGAUAACCGGUUCUGGACGGGGGUUCGAUUCCCCCCAUCUCCACCG